ensembl:lncRNA
UUUUUUUUUUUUUUUUUUUUUUUGAUUCUUCAUUUCUAUUUAUUUAUUUUGCUCUUUAUUUUAUUGUACGAAGAAGAAUAAUUGUUUAGAUAUUAAUAUGUUUAGCUAUUAUGAUAUUCAGGUAUUAAGAAGUCCAUAAUAAUCACAUACAAAGAACGCAAUUUUAAUUUAAAGGCACAUAUACCAAGAUUUAUUUUUGUGUUCAGAAGUUUAUAUAUAUAUAUAUAUAAAUAAACUGUAUUUAUGCUUAUUUGUACACAUAUAUAAAAAUAACUAUAUCAAACAUAUGUACAGAACCUUUUUAUUAUUUUUUUGCUGAAGUGGUCAAUAAUAUUUUUAAAAAAAAAUUAUAGUUAUAUAUUACAAGGAUGCACAUAUAUUUAUAUAUAUAUAUAUAUAUAUUUAAUAUUUAUAGAAGGACAAAUUAUAUUUAGAAAAAAAAAAAAAAAAAAAAAAAAAAAAAAAAAAAAAAACCUUAAAUAUAUAUAGAAAAAAUAAAGAAUACUUUUACACAUUUUUAAAAAAUUUAAAUAGCUAUAUUUAAAAAAAAAACAAAAAAAUACACAUGUAUAUAUAUAUUAAAAUUGUCAGAUAUUUCAAUUUUUUUUUUUUUUUUUUAUAUUCAUUUAAUUUAAUAUAAUUUUAUAUUAUUUAUGGGAGAAAAGAAAUAACAACACGUAUAUACAUAAAUAUAUAUAUUAUUUACGAAUUUGAAGUAUUUUUUAUUUUUGAAACAUAAAUUUUUACCAAAAUUUUAAAAAUAUAUUAUUUAUAAUACUUUAUCAUAAUUUUAAGCAAGAACUAGUAAAGAAGAACCAGCGGUUAUAAUGCUAUUUAAGUUUUUAAAGUGGUAAACGAUAACAAAGAAAUAAAAAAUUAAUAAUAAAAUAAGCGAGUAUAUUAGUGUCUAUAGUAGUGGUUAUAUUAGCGGCUAUAUUAUUGGCUUUAUAUAUGUAUAUACAUAAUUAUAUUUUUUAAAAGAAAAUCAAAUUAAUAAUGAAUGCAACCGUUGAAGAAAGUACCAUGCAAGUUCAGACACAAAUAAAUAAUGAUAAUAUUCUUCACAACAAUACUAGUAGCUUAGACAAAGAAAACAUAACGAGUGAAAAUAUGUAUAAUGCAAAUAAUGACAACGUAUCCAACAUGGAAGGUAAGGAUAAGAAUAUCGAUGAAGGUGAGAAAGGGGAUAAUGUACCAGCUAGUGAUAUGAAUAAUUAUAAUAAUAGUAAUGGAAAAGAUGAAAAUACAAAUAACCCAACAGAAAACACUGCAAACAAGAGUAGUGAUCGUUGGGCUGACAUGUGUGACGAUAUGGAGGAUAUCCCAUUAGUUGAUGAAUAUAGUAACGAAACCGAAACAAACACUCAAUUUAUGGGAACAAGUUAUUAUAACAACGACAUGAAUAAUAACAUGAAGCAGAAUUAUUACAAUCCUAACAAAAAUGAUAUGAACAACUAUCCUCCAUGCUACGAAAUAUACAUUCGCAAUCUCGGUGAAAAUGUAACGAAAAACGAUUUGUACACUUUGUUCAAUGGUUACCACAUAAAAAAAAUUAGCUUGUUUAACAGAAAGGACAAAAUGUCUGCAGCGUAUGUAGAAUUUGAUAAUCCAGAAGAUAUGAAUAGAUCAUUAGAAUUUAAUGGUAGAAUAUUGCCGACAGGAAAUAGUGGAGGUGAACAGAAUGCAAUUUCAGUUAUUAUUAAUGAAAAGGUGAAAGGUUUUAAUUUAAAUCAGAAACAAAAUAAGUUUAAAAAAAAUAUGAACAGAUCAAAUAAUUUUUCAAAUUUACGUCAAAAUAAUAAUAAUAAUAAUAAUAAUAGUAACAAUAUGAAUAACAUGAUGAAUAAUUAUAAUCAUAUGAACAACAUGAAUCAUAAUAUGAUAAAUAAUAAUAAUAAUAACAUGUAUGGUAUGAAUAAUAAUUAUAAUGCUUUUUUUAAUGAUAAUAAUAAUAAUCAGAAUAAGAUGUUAAUAGGUGGUGAUAUGAAAAAUAAUAACAUGAAUCCUAAUUUUAAUUAUAACAAUGUAAAAGGAAAAUACAUAAAUCAUAUAAAUUUAAAUCAAAGUAAUAAUAAUACACAUAUGAUGAAUGAUAACAUGCAUAAUAAUAAUAACAAUAAUGCAUUUAAUUUAAAAAAUAAUAACUUUCAAAAUAAUAUGACUGAUCAUAAUAAAAUUAUGAAUAAUGAAAAUGUUGCUAAUAAAAAUGUAGAAAGAAAAAAAUUGAAUGUAAAAAAAAGAACUGUCCCUAUAGAUACUAAUAGUUAUGUAGCGAAUCCUAGUAUUUUUGGUGAAGCUAGACCUGUUAAUACAGAUCCGGACAAAUUUUUAAGUACAAAUAAUGCAAACGAAAAGGAAAAACAAAAAGAUAUUGCUACCGUGACAACCACAACUGAUACAGAAAAGUUUAAAGAAAAAUACAAUAGAAGUAACAAUAACAACAAUAUGGGUUCAGAACAAAUUGAAAGAAAAUUUGAAAAACAAGAAGAAUCUGAAAGAAUGAAUAAAAAAAAAACACAUUGGUGAGUAAUCAAAAUAAUGUUAAUGUUAGUAAUAAUAAUAAUAAUAAUAAUAAUAGUAAUAAUAAUAAUAGUAAUAAUAAUGAGAACAACAAAGGAUUUGUUAAUUCUUCAGGAAACAAAGCAUUUAAUUUUAAAAAAAAUACAAACAUGAAUAGAAACUUUAGCUAUAAUAAUCAGAGUAGUCAAUCCAAUCAGAAUAAUUAUCACACUUAUCACCACACCGGUGGUAAUAACACUGACACUAUGAAAAAUAAUAAUAAUGAUAAUGUGAGAAGUAAUAACAAUAAUACGAUAGUUAAUAACAAUUCUGCAAAAAAAGGCUUUGUAUUAAAUAAAACCCCAUUUAAUAAUAGUAGUGUUAAAAAA